GACAGAGGGUGCAAACGUUGUUCGGAAUUACUGGGCGUAAAGCGCGUGUAGGCGGCCCUGCAAGUCGGAUGUGAAAUCCCACGGCUCAACCGUGGAAGUGCAUUCGAAACUGCAGGGCUAGAGUCCCGGAGAGGAAGGUGGAAUGCUUGGUGUAGAGGUGAAAUUCGUAGAUAUCAAGCGGAACACCGGUGGCGAAGGCGGCCUUCUGGACAGUGACUGACGCUGAGACGCGAAAGCGUGGGGAGCAAACAGG
rnacentral:rRNA from 1 species